ACUUGGGGAUGGCGGAGGCUGAACAAGGCCCGAUGGAGACAGAAAAUGACAUCACAGAGGGCCUAGAGUAUAAGUAGACAUGGCUCAAGCAGGAGGAGCCACUCGCAGGGUGCCAGCCAGAGGAAGUGCUUCAGGAGGCGAGGCCCAGCCCCGGAGGAGCAGGAAGAAGAGAAGUAGCGGACCAACCCAACCCUACAGCCCUUCGGAGAGGACACGGAGCCGAGCGACGCCGAAAUGCAACUCGUCAGGAGGAGGAAGAGGAGGAGGACCGCAGCGGUGGACCCCAAGAUAUGUCAGACAGGAAGAUCUCUGCCGAGGAAGCUGGACUUCCCCGGAACCAUCAGACACAGGGGACUGGGGGAGUUCCAGUGGCAGAGGGAAGAGGAGCAGCGGGGACCAGCAGAGCAUGGAGACUUCAGGAGGAGGAGGGCGGCAGCGGCGGACCCCAGUACUGACAGACGUCACACAGGAAGAUCUCGGCCUUAUAAGACGGACUCCCCUGGAACAAUUAGCUGGAAGGAGUAGUCGGAGGUGGCGAGAGGAAAACGAUCGGAGAUGGAAUCCCACAGGGGCGGAGCUGGCUAGGACCCAUAGAGCUGAACCUUAGCUCUCCCAGGGCCGAGCAGUGCGGAUUGGGAGGAGGGGCCGGGCACUGACCCCCAGAUUAGGCUAGGCCAGGGAAUGGGGGAGUGCCAGUGGCAGAGGGAAGACGAGCAACGCUGACCGGUGGAGCAGGUAACUCAUCAGGAGGAGACGGGCAGCAGCGGUGGACCCCAGUACUGCCAGAUGUCGGAUGGGAAGAUCUCUGCCGAAUAAGCUGGUACUCCCCCGGAACAAUUAGCUGGAAGGAGAAGGGGGUGGCAAGAGGAAGAUGAAUCCAAGAUGGGGCCAGAGAGGGCUGAGAUCUCUAGAGCCAACCCUUAGCUCUCCCUGGGACAGGCAGGGUGAACGGGGAAUGACCCUGGAUUAGGCUAGAGCAGGAUCAGGGGGAGUUCCAGUGGCAGAGGGAAGAGAAGCAGUGGUGACCGGCUGACCACGGUGACUUCAGGAGGAGGAGGACGGCAGCGGCGGACCCCGGUACGGACAGACGUCACACGGGAAGAUCUCUGCCGAAUAAGCUGGACUCCCCCAGAACAAUUAGCUGGAGGGGAUAGUCAGGGGUGGCGAGAGGAAAACGAUCCGAGAUGGAAUCCCACAGGGGGUGGAGCUGGCUAGGACCCAUAGAGCCGACUCUUAGUUCUCCCAGGGACGGGCAGUGUGGAUGGAGAGGAGGGGCCGGGCAGUGACACUCCGGAUUAGGCUAGAGCGGGGACUGGCAGGGGAAAAAGGAGGAGCAGAACACGGUGACCCGCCAGGAGGAGGGCAGUGUGGACGCGAAUACUGCCAAAUGUCAAAUGGGAAGAUCUCUUCCAAGCAAGCUGGAUUCCUGGCACACCUUCCCGCUUCAUAAUGGAUCAUCACUUCCCGCCCGCCCCCCGCCCCGGUUCAAAGCCUUAAUAAAAGCACUUC